GACGAACGCUGGCGGCGUGCUUAACACAUGCAAGUCGAACGGAAAGGCCCUGCUUUUGUGGGGUGCUCGAGUGGCGAACGGGUGAGUAACACGUGAGUAACCUGCCCUUGACUUUGGGAUAACUUCAGGAAACUGGGGCUAAUACCGGAUAGGAGCUCCUGCUGCAUGGGGGGGGUUGGAAAGUUUCGGCGGUUGGGGAUGGACUCGCGGCUUAUCAGCUUGUUGGUGGGGUAGUGGCUUACCAAGGCUUUGACGGGUAGCCGGCCUGAGAGGGUGACCGGCCACAUUGGGACUGAGAGACGGCCCAGACUGCUACGGGAGGCAGCAGUGGGGAAUAUUGCACAACGGGCGGAAGCCUGAUGCAGCAACGCCGCGUGCGGGAUGACGGCCUUCGAGUUGUAAACCGCUUUCGCCUGUGACGAAGCGUGAGUGACGGUAAUGGGUAAAGAAGCACCGGCUAACUACGUG
rnacentral:rRNA from 1 species